GUUGAAACACCGGUUCUCGUACGAUCAGCGAAGUUAAGCAACGUCGAGCAUGCUCAGAUGGAUGGCGGCUGUUCUUAGAUGGGUGACCGCUUGAGAAUUUCAGGUGCUGUAUU